rnacentral:rRNA from 1 species
GAAUUCCCCCUUAGAGUUUGAUCCUGGCUCAGGACGAACGCUGGCGGCACGCCUAACACAUGCAAGUCGAACGGACUUAAAAGAGCUUGCUUUUUUAAGUUAGUAGGCGGACGGGUGAGUAACACGUGAGCAACCUGCCUCUGAGAGGGGGAUAGCUUCUGGAAAACGGAUGGUAAUACCCCAUAAAAUAUAAAAUAUCGCAUGAUAGAUAUAUCAAAGAAAUUCGCUCAGAGAUGGGCUCGCGUCUGAUUAGAUAGUUGGUGAGGUAACGGCUCACCAAGUCGACGAUCAGUAGCCGGACUGAGAGGUUGAACGGCCACAUUGGGACUGAGACACGGCCCAGACUCCUACGGGAGGCAGCAGUGGGGAAUAUUGCACAAUGGAGGGAACUCUGAUGCAGCGAUGCCGCGUGGAGGAAGAAGGUUUUCGGAUUGUAAACUCCUUUUAUCAGGGACGAUAAUGACGGUACCUGAAGAAAAAGCUCCGGCUAACUACGUGCCAGCAGCCGCGGUAAUACGUAGGGAGCGAGCGUUGUCCGGAAUUACUGGGUGUAAAGGGAGCGUAGGCGGGAUAGCAAGUCAGAUGUGAAAACUAUGGGCUCAACCUGUAGAUUGCAUUUGAAACUGUUGUUCUUGAGUGAAGUAGAGGUAAGCGGAAUUCCUAGUGUAGCGGUGAAAUGCGUAGAUAUUAGGAGGAACAUCGGUGGCGAAGGCGGCUUACUGGGCUUUUACUGACGCUGAGGCUCGAAAGCGUGGGGAGCAAACAGAAUUAGAUACCCUGGUAGUCCACGCUGUAAACGA